rnacentral:rRNA from 1 species
AUACGGAGGGUGCAAGCGUUAAUCGGAAUUACUGGGCGUAAAGCGUGCGCAGGCGGUUUGUUAAGUCAGAUGUGAAAGCCCCGGGCUCAACCUGGGAACCGCAUUUGAAACUGGCAAACUAGAGUGUGGUAGAGGGAAGUGGAAUUCCUCAUGUAGCGGUGAAAUGCGUAGAUAUGAGGAGGAACACCAGUGGCGAAGGCGACUUCCUGGACCAACACUGACGCUCAUGUACGAAAGCGUGGGUAGCAAACAGGAUUAGAAACCCCGGUAGUCC